ACCUGCUGACAUCUAACUGUGUGCCUACCAAACUGACCCACUGGCCACUUAGGUCUGGUGAGCCCCUAUCCUUUCUUAUGCAUCUGGCAUCUACUGUCCACUGCGGCAGAUCCGUCUUCCUACAGCACCAUCAUUGAGCAGACUUGGACCCCACACCCCAAGUGGCUCCUCAAUCCCAAGAGGAGUGAAGUUUGGGUUGCUUUGCUGCGUAUUCAAGGUUAUUCGCCGACUGUCCUCUUCCUGCCUUGGAACUUGAAUGGCACAUUCCUCUGCCGAUGGCCCCCUCUCACAGUGCAUCCUUCGGCCUGAAGGUCUUGGUCUCCGUAGCCUAAGCCAGACAUGGUAGACCUCUGACCUCCUGCUGGACACCUCCUCUGCAGUCCCUAAGCUAUGAAGCAAAUCGCUGGGCCUCCUCAUUCCCUGAAGAAGCCUGAAUGAAAAUAUGAAGAAUUACAAGAAGUGUGGGGAAUAUCCCUGCAUCUGUGAAUAGAAUUAGACACCUCUGAUCCAUUAGUCUCUACCAUAACCCGGGGUGGAUAAAGGAUGAGGCAAAUUUAAGCUCUGGAUGUGCCUAGGUGCCCCAGACAGAUGCCAUUCCCUGGUGACCUUCUCUCUGAAGGAGGGAAGCCUCCGGGUCUGCUCACCCGGAGGAAACAGCCAGACCGCCGUCUACACCACAGCACGGGAUGAGACCUGAGUUUCCUGAAUAACUGAAUCAGCGACUUCCUAUCUGCCAGGUGCUGGGCUGGACACUACAGAUAUAAUUAUGAGAAAUGAGAUAUGAGCCUCUCACCAAGAGAUUACCAGCCGGUGAGGAGCAGACUCACCAGGAGAAACAUUCAGCCACGUGACAGGGCUGUGACAGGGCUCCCCAGAGCAAGCUGGGGGCAGGGACACUGUGCUUAGCCAAGUGGAUGCUAAAGUGGAACCAACAAAGGCCUCCAGCGGAGGCACCUGCUGAGUUGGGUCUUGAAGCAUGAAAAGGAUUUAACCAGGUAGAAAAGGGACUGGGCAAAGGAGCAGGCAAAGUGGACAGCCCCAUGGUGGGGCUGGGGAACAAGCGGAGAUUUGUAAGCCGUCAGCCUCCUUCCCCCCACUUUGCUGCCCUAAACCCACUUGCUUCUCUUCUUGUGAUGGGACCCACCUGCUCCUCUCAUAGAGAGAAUGCACUUGUACCCCUCUCUUCAUGGCCGGGCACAGACCAGUGCCUGGUGUCACUGGAUGGAGGCCUAAUUGAAAAAGAAUGGACAAGUGUGUGCCUUGGUGUGUUUUCUGGUGCUGUAACCGAUUACCUGAGGUUUGGUAAUUUAUAAAGAAAAAAGUUGUUUUUAUAGUUCUAGGAACUGGGAUGUCCAAGAGCAUCAUACUCCACAUCUAGUGAGGACCUCUGGCCCCUUCGUCACAUGACAAGACAGAGGAAACCAGCUAGAGAGAGCUCACCUCUAUGUCAAAGCUGCUUCUGUGAUAACUGAUGGGUGAAUUCAGCCAAUCAUGAGGUCAGAAGCCUAUGACCCCAUCAAUUCCUGAAGGUCCCAGUUCUCAGUACUGCUGUGGUGAAGACCUGAUUUCCUUGGGAGAUAUAUCCAAGCCAUAGCAAUGUGCCCAGCACUGCUGGAUUUGUUCCCACCCUUGAUGCAGAGACUGCACGCAUCUAGGGCCUUCUGCAGCAAGUUGAAGAUGGCAUGCCCUCUGGACACCUUCUGGAACCUGGUCCUCCACCCAAUGGUGUCAUUCUUGUCCAUAGGACACAACUGAGACUUAUGAAAGAAAGCCAAUUUAAGAAACUGUGAACAGAAAUACUUAGACAAAUAUUGCUUUAAGAACUGGAUUUUAAUGUUAGUGAUUACUUUCUCCCAUCUGAGGUGUUAUGGGCCCAUUCGAAGUGACCCUUCAUCACAGGAUGCUUUGCACUGACACAUAUCAGUCACUUUGCCAUCACUGGGAUGGGGUUUCUGACACCCAAAAUUUAAAAGAAGAGAGACUCCUUUUUGGCUCAUGGCUUUAAAGGGUUCAGUCCAUGGUUGGCUGGCUCCGUGGUGGAAGGUCCGGCAGAGGGCAGCUGCUCAUCUCAGGGCAGCCAGGAAGUGCAGAGAGGGGGGGACACAGGGACCUGCACUUGCAGGUCACACACCAAUGACCACCUCCACCCAGGCCCCACUCCAGUGGCACAUUCAUCAAUGAACUCCUUGGGGGUGAAUUCAUGGAAAAGUAUCGUACUCCCAUGAUCCAAAACCCCACUUUGAACACAAAAAUUUGUGGGGAAUAUUUGAGAUCUAAGCCAUAACAAAACAUAAUACCCAGCUCCAUGUGGACUCUUAAGAAAGGCUCUUGCUGCAAAUCUGCACUUCUCAGCAGAUCAGACCUCCCAGGGCAGCAGACCUCAUACCCCAGGAAGGUUGCUAACACCACGCUGCUUCUGAUCUGAAGCACGUGAAGGUCACUCUGACACCUUAAAUACACCAUACCCAAACCAAGCUCCAGUGGUUUGGCCAGGUCUCUGCACACCUGACCUUCCAGCUCAAACAGCUUCCUCCAAUCAGGUGCCUCACACUCUCUCGCCAGGCCCCGCUGAUUCUACAUGCGGAUUGUAAGGCAGGGGGUUGCCGGUGCAAAGAGCGUGAGGAACUGGGAAACAGGCCUGAAGAUCGGGCCAAACAGACAUGGCUGGAACAGCAAGCGGGGCCCACAGGACACCACCACAGCAAGGUCGUGUUCCCUCAUGCAGGGCGCCCUAGGUUGUGGGCUGGCUGGGACCAAGCAAGGGUCAGCUCUGCUAGCUUUAGUCUGGUGGAGAGGAUGAACUAGACAGGGAGGAAGGGGUGCUGUGAAUUUGACAGCAGGGCAGGUGUGGUAACUGAUGGAGGGAGAAGGUGGCGCUGGAGGUAGAGAGGAUCAGAAAGACCCCCCUCCAUUGCUCUGGGGUGCAGGGGGAGAGAGGAGGGAAUUCAAGAGGAUUCUCAAGCAAGCAGAGGGAGCUACAGAUGGUGAGAGAGGGCCCUGCAGCCUCAGGCACAGAUGUGAGUAUUAACUGCUCCCUUGUCAUUGCAGGAUGGCACUAAUCCAGAGGGGAGCAGCCUCCAAGUUCCCACCGACCGGGGUGGCCGGGGCAGUGAGACAGCAGCUGGCAGGAGGAUCAGCUCGCUCAGGGGCUCAGGGGUGCCCAGGACAGGAGCCAGGCUCCCCAUACCCCACCCCUCUUUCUCUCCCUCUCCCUCCCCUCCCCUUUCUCCUCCAGAAGGGAGCCUGGGUGGUGGAGGUGGGAGGGUGAGACUUCAGGUCUGAAACCAACCACUUUAAGAUCUUUAGCUUCUAGGUGGGGGGUCAGGAUGGGUCCCUUGGAGACAGCAAGAGGGCGGUUUUCUCCUUGCCGAUCACCCAACUUAUGUCAUUGUGAUCGCCGCCACCAUCACCGUUGUCUUCAUCAUCUCCAUCAUCAUCUUCAUCAUCUUCAUCAUCUCCAUCAUCAUCUUCAUCAGUUGGGUUUGUUUUGCCAAAAGACAAAUUUUGUCAGUCCCUUUUAUUCUCAUGGAGUAAAAUGGAUGGUUUUGGACAUCAAGGACAAUCUAUACCUUUGAAAGCUCUAGAGGAAAUCUAAAAUACUUGUUAGACAGGGUGGGGCUAAUGUUUUGUUUACAGUAAAUUUGGAACAGGCAUUUCUGGGAGAGGAAAGUGCUGAGUGUGAACUUCAUCAUAAGAUACUCGGGUGUGCGGGGUCCUUCUGUGGUGGAGAAGGAUGUCACAAUCCCUGUGAUGUUCAUCAGAGAAAUGCCUCGAACUUCAGGUAAUCUAGAUGCACAUUCAAGGGUGUGUUUUGCUUUCUGCAUUCAGUAGAUUUAUGGUUUCAUUUAUUGCAGUCCAAAACAGGAGUUUCUGUGUAUUCCAUUCAGGAGGCUGAAGACUGUCGGUUUGGGUAAAGUGAAUGUUUCACUCCUUUUCGUUUUGGCUUUCGGGAUGAACUCUGUACUGACAUCAAUACCAGCCUGAGACAGUUACUAACCCAAGAAUAUAGAACACAGUGAGCGCCUCCAAGGAGACUGGCCAGGAAGUCACUCCCCGAGACGGAUGUUUUGAAACAUGCUAAAAGAUGUUUUUAAAAGGUGAGAGAUUAUGAAGAACUUACUUUUAGGAACUCACCCUCAUGUAGCCUUGUAGACAGUAUUGAGAUGCUUUUCUCUUUGGGAAAAGAAUAUACGUUUGUUGUGGGAAAUAUUGCAGAUACAGGAAAAAAUAAAAAAUUAAAGCAAUGAUAUAUGAGACAGAAUAAAGGAGAGAAUACAGUCAGUAGGAAUCUCAGCAUUUGAUAGAAAUGCCUAUUUCUUCCAA